rnacentral:rRNA from 1 species
UAAACCCAGAUAGCCUACUAACCAGCUAUCCGCCAGAGAACUACAAGCGAAAAGCUUGAAACUCAAAGGACUUGACGGUGUCCCACACCAACCUAGAGGAGCCUGUCCUAUAAUCGAUACUCCACGCUAAACCCGACCAACUCUCGCACCCACAGCCUAUAUACCGCCGUCGCCAGCUUACCUUGUGAAAGCCACAGUAGUAAGCACAACAGCCCCCACUAAAACGUCAGGUCAAGGUGUAGCUAAUGAUUUGGAAGCGAUGGGCUACAUUUUCUUACAAAGAAAAUUACAAACCACAGCAUGAAACCCUGCCAAAAGGAGGAUUUAGCAGUAAACUGAGCAAGUAUGCUCACAUGAACAC